rnacentral:rRNA from 1 species
GACGGCCUAAUGCUUGUAACCCCUUUUCUCUGGGAAGAAGACUGACGGUACCAGAGGAAUCAGCCUCGGCUAACUCCGGUGCCAAGCAGCCGCGGUAAUACGGGAGGAGGCAAGCGUUAUCCGGAAUUAUUGGGCGUAAAGCGUCCGUAGGUGGUUAUUCAAGUCUGCUGUCAAAGCGUGGGGCUUUAACUCCAUAGAGGCAGUGGAAACUGAGUGACUAGAGUGCGGUAGGGGUCGAGGGAAUUCCCAGUGUAGCGGUGAAAUGCGUAGAUAUUGGGAAGAACACCAGUGGCGAAAGCGCUCGACUGGGCCUGCACUGACACUGAGGGACGAAAGCUAGGGGAGCGAAAGGGAUUAGAUACCCCUGUAGUCCUAGCCGUAAACGAUGGAUACUAGGUGUUGCUCGU